CCUACGGGGGGCAGCAGUGGGGAAUAUUGGGCAAUGGGCGCAAGCCUGACCCAGCAACGCCGCGUGAUGGAAGAAGGCUUUCGGGUUGUACACUUCUUUUGUCAGGGAAGAGUAGAAGACGGUACCUGACGAAUCAGCCACGGCUAACUACGUGCCAGCAGCCGCGGUAAUACGUAGGUGGCAAGCGUUGUCCGGAUUUACUGGGUGUAAAGGGCGUGUAGCCGGGUUGACAAGUCAGAUGUGAAAUCCUGCGGCUUAACCGCAGAACUGCAUUUGAAACUGUUGAUCUUGAGUACUGGAGAGGCAGACGGAAUUCCUAGUGUAGCGGUGAAAUGCGUAGAUAUUAGGAGGAACACCAGUGGCGAAGGCGGUCUGCUGGACAGCAACUGACGGUGAGGCGCGAAAGCGUGGGGAGCAAACAGGAUUAGAUACCCCAGUAGUC
rnacentral:rRNA from 1 species